GGAGUAACCCAAACGAUCACUGAAUCAUCUCUUUGAUUCAGAGGAAAGUCCGAACACCGUAGGGCAGGGUGCUCCAUAACAUGGAGUCGUGGCAACGCGAAGGAAAGUGCAACAGAAAGUAUACCGCCCGGCACCAAACCGGAUCGUUUGGUGCCGGGUAAGGGUGAAAAGGUGCGGUAAGAGCGCACCAGUUCCUCGGGUGACCGGGGAAGCUUGGCAAACCCCACCUGGUGCAAGACCAAAUAGGGGAGCGCGUGAGAGUGGCCCGCUCAAGCUCCCGGGUAGGUCGCAUGAGAUGCCGGGCAAUCGGCAUUCUUAGAUGAAUGAUCGUUACCCGUUUUGGGGAGACCUGAAGCGGGCACAGAAUUCGGCUUAUGGGUUGCUCUGGCC
rnacentral:RNase_P_RNA from 1 species